rnacentral:rRNA from 1 species
ACGAACGCUGGCGGCGUGCUUAACCCAUGCAAGUCGCACGGAAAGGCCCUGCUUUUGUGGGGUGCUCGAGUGGCGAACGGGUGAGUAACACGUGAGUAACCUGCCCUUGACUUUGGGAUAACUUCAGGAAACUGGGGCUAAUACCGGAUAGGAGCUCCUGCUGCAUGGUGGGGGUUGGAAAGUUUCGGCGGUUGGGGAUGGACUCGCGGCUUAUCAGCUUGUUGGUGGGGUAGUGGCUUACCAAGGCUUUGACGGGUAGCCGGCCUGAGAGGGUGACCGGCCACAUUGGGACUGAGGUACGGCCCAGACUCCUACGGGAGGCAGCAGUGGGGAAUAUUGCACAAUGGGCGGAAGCCUGAUGCAGCAACGCCGCGUGCGGGAUGACGGCCUUCGGGUUGUAAACCGCUUUCGCCUGUGACGAAGCGUGAGUGACGGUAAUGGGUAAAGAAGCACCGGCUAACUACGUG